rnacentral:rRNA from 1 species
CCUGCAGUCGACGAUGAAGCCCAGCUUGCUGGGUGGAUUAGUGGCGAACGGGUGAGUAACACGUGGGUGAUCUGCCCUGCACUCUGGGAUAAGCCUGGGAAACUGGGUCUAAUACCGGAUAUGACCUCGGGAUGCAUGUCCUGGGGUGGAAAGUUUUUCGGUGCAGGAUGAGCCCGCGGCCUAUCAGCUUGUUGGUGGGGUAAUGGCCUACCAAGGCGACGACGGGUAGCCGGCCUGAGAGGGCGACCGGCCACACUGGGACUGAGACACGGCCCAGACUCCUACGGGAGGCAGCAGUGGGGAAUAUUGCACAAUGGGCGCAAGCCUGAUGCAGCGACGCCGCGUGAGGGAUGACGGCCUUCGGGUUGUAAACCUCUUUCAGCAGGGACGAAGCGCAAGUGACGGUACCUGCAGAAGAAGCACCGGCCAACUACGUGCCAGCAGCCGCGGUAAUACGUAGGGUGCGAGCGUUGUCCGGAAUUACUGGGCGUAAAGAGCUCGUAGGCGGUUUGUCGCGUCGUCUGUGAAAUCCCGCAGCUCAACUGCGGGCUUGCAGGCGAUACGGGCAGACUCGAGUACUGCAGGGGAGACUGGAAUUCCUGGUGUAGCGGUGAAAUGCGCAGAUAUCAGGAGGAACACCGGUGGCGAAGGCGGGUCUCUGGGCAGUAACUGACGCUGAGGAGCGAAAGCGUGGGUAGCGAACAGGAUUAGAUACUGGUAGUCCACGCCGUAAACGGUGGGCGCUAGGUGUGGGUUUCCUUCCACGGGAUCCGUGCCGUAGCCAACGCAUUAAGCGCCCCGCCUGGGGAGUACGGCCGCAAGGCUAAAACUCAAAGGAAUUGAGGGGCCCGCACAAGCGGCGGAGCAUGUGUUAAUUCGAUGCAACGCAACUUACCUGGGUUGACAUGUACCGGACGACUGCAGAAUGGUUUCCCUUGCGAAACGGGGCAUGGUCGUCAGCUCGUCGUGAUAAGUCCCGACACCCUCCGUC